GCGGCCAUGGCGGAAUUGGUAGACGCGUAACGUUGAGGUCGUUAUGGGCUAAGCCCGUGGAAGUUCAAGUCUUCUUGGCCGCACCA
rnacentral:tRNA from 2 species